UCUGAGGGAAGGUGAGUGUUGCCAGCCUGGUCAUGCCUUAUCCGAAGCGAAGUGAAGACGCUCAGGUGUUUCCCUGUGAGGGUCUGAGGUGAGACUGUUUGGGAUAGAGGAGUAGCGUGGCAGGUGGGUGCUUGCAAGCACAGUGGUUCUUUUGUCCUUUUGUGUUCCCCGGUGGUGUGGAUGAUGGUGGCCGCUCCUUUCAAGCUUGGACCUAAUUUGCAGGUCCAGAGGCAAGUGGAGUGCUGUUUUGAAAGGGUAAAAGUAAAGCUGGGGUCGCUUAUGUUGUUGAGGGAUGGGUGCUACAGCUGGCAGCUGAAUGUUUAUCUUCUGCCUGUGUCUUUCCUUUGUUCAUGUUGAAAUGCAGCGUGCAGUGCGCAGUGCAGGACGUCUCGACCCGAGCUGCCUCUGCAGUGACUCUGGUGGUGUGGAUGAUACUGGCUGCACUGUUGGAGCUUGGACUCGGAGAGGAACACGUGAGCACAAUCGUAUGUUGCAUCAGCAGUAGUCAGCAUUGUGGAGAAGGUGAGCAAUGGGGCUGGCGUGCUAGUGAAUGCUGUUUCUCUGUUUUUGCAGCUGAUGAUGAGCCUUCAAUUGACUAAGAUGACAAACGGUGCCUGUGCAUUUCUUGAGGCGGAGGAACUUCACCAUGCAGCAGC
rnacentral:lncRNA from 1 species